rnacentral:rRNA from 1 species
UGCGUAGGCGGUCCGGUAAGUUGGGUGUGAAAUCCCUCGGCUUAACCGAGGAAUGGCGCUACAAAACUGUCGGACUCGAGGGAGACAGAGGUGAGUGGAACUUAGGGUGGAGCGGUGAAAUGCGUUGAUAUCCUAAGGAACACCGGUGGCGAAAGCGACUCACUGGGUUCUUUUCUGACGCUGAGGCACGAAAGCUAGGGUAGCGAACGGGAUUAGACUACCCCGGUAGUCCUAGCCGUAAACGAUGAGCACUAGAUCGAAGGGUACACCAUAGCCUUUUGGUCGUAGCGAAAGUGUUAAGUGCUCCGCCUGGGGAGUAUGGUCGCAAGGCUGAA